rnacentral:rRNA from 1 species
GUGAGGAAUAUUGCGCAAUGGAGGCAACUCUGACGCAGCCAUGCCGCGUGCAGGAAGAAGGCGCUACGCGUUGUAAACUGCUUUUAACCGGGAAGAAACCCCAGGACGUGUCCUGGGUUGACGGUACCGGAGGAAUAAGCACCGGCUAACUUCGUGCCAGCAGCCGCGGUAAUACGAAGGGUGCAAGCGUUAUCCGGAUUCAUUGGGUUUAAAGGGUGCGUAGGCGGAGCGUUAAGUCAGUGGUGAAAUCCUGCAGCUUAACUGUAGACUUGCCAUUGAUACUGGCGCUCUUGAGUGCGCUUGAAGUGGGCGGAAUGUGCCGUGUAGCGGUGAAAUGCUUAGAUAUGGCACAGAACACCAAUUGCGAAGGCAGCUCACUAAGGCGAUACUGACGCUGAGGCACGAAAGCGUGGGGAUCGAACAGGAUUAGAUACCCUAGUGGUCC